UGACACGAAAGAGAUGAAAACGAUGGCUUGUUGAAACUUGCAGCUAAAAACUAACAAUAAAAUCGAAGAAUUUCAGGAUCAAAUCAAUAUAAAUCAAAAACCAUGGCCGGAAAGUUGAACUGUGUGAUCGUUUCCGUCGACGGCAGUGAAGAGAGCAUGAACGCGUUGAAUUGGACUCUUGAUAACAUUAAGCUCAAACCCCAUGAUCCUGAUUCUCCAGAAUCACAAGGGUUCAUUGUGAUUCUCCAUGUUCAAUCUCCGCCGUCUAUCGCUGCUGGUCUUAACCCUGGAGCUAUACCCUUUGGUGGCCCCAGUGAUGUUGAGGUGCCUGCGUUUACUGCUGCAAUUGAGGCACAUCAAAAGCGGAUCACACAGGCCAUUUUAGACCAUGCUCUUGGGAUUUGUGCUAAAAAAAAUGCUAACGUUAAGACCCAAGUAGUUAUUGGGGAUCCGAAGGAGAAAAUUUGUGAUGCUGUUGAAGAAAUGAAUGCUGAUUUGCUGGUGAUGGGUUCCCGUGCUUUUGGCCCCAUUAAAAGGAUGUUUCUGGGGAGUGUAAGCAACUAUUGCACAAACCAUGCACAGUGUCCAGUAAUUAUAGUUAAGGCUACUCCUUGAUGCGAACAUUCCAGGGUUUGGUGACAUAUUCCGUCUUCUUUGGAUGAUCAGCCUUGAGCUGUAGUUAUGGGUUGCUCAUGAGAUGCAUGGAAUGUGUUUGUUCAAACAAGAUAAUAGUCGUCGUAUACUGUGGAAUAAGCUUGACUGGCUGUCUCUAUGCUGUAGAUCAUGUGUGUUUUGCAUUAAUUUAUAGAGGUGGAUUAGAUCUUGGUUUGUGUAUUCCCACAUGUGCUGUUUACACUAUACAAGAUUCACAUCAUGUGAGAGUGCAAGAACUAUCUGUGAAGGUGUGAAGGGUGUCAAUGUAAGAGCUUGCAUUUUAUUGUAAUUACAUUAUACUGAAUCAAUGUUUUUUAUUCUUUGUUCAUUGGAUUCUUG
rnacentral:misc_RNA from 1 species